AAUCUUGACUGAGCUUGAUCCUGAUCGCCUGCACGCACAAAGGAGGAAUCGGAGCAAAGGAAGUUUCAAAGGUGGUUGCCAGGGGCCGGCUGUAUCUUGGAGUCAACGGUUGAAUGCCAUUCGCUCUAGGAAGGACAGGACUGAGUUCUGCCAGGCAUCUCCAACAGACCUUCCAACAGGUGCCUGCAUAAUUUCUGCUCUUCUUUGAAAAAGUAUGUCUAGUGCAACAAGUCUUUUUCUUCAUUUUGAAUAAGCCAUCUUGGGAAAUCUCCAAGAAGAGGAAUUCUUUGUUUUUGAAGGGGCACCUCACGUUGCGGGACCACUGAUCGGCCGGCAAGAGCGUGGGACAUUUUGAGAGAUGGGGCAGGUCAUCAUCACCGCAAAGAUUAGUCCAUGCAGGGGCAGACACAA